rnacentral:tRNA from 1 species
GCGCCCGUAGCUCAGUUGGAUAGAGCGUCUGGCUACGAACCAGAAGGUCGGGGGUUCGAGUCCCUCCGGGCGCGCCA